CUGACUGAGAGGAAUAUGGCUCAGAAGGGCUUGUGUCCUGACCUGAGGGCAGAGCUGACCUGAGGGGAAGUCUGUCCUGCCUCUUGUCGUUCUAAGGAGAACACUGUCCUGAGGAGGAAGCUGGUGUCCCCACUACCAGCUGCUAUGCUCAGAGCCUCACACAAGCCCAUGCUACCUUUAACUGAAGCAUGUUCCUGAGCAGGAUGUCCCCGAUGCGCUGGUGACUGCCUGUGGCCUGGGUGCUAGAAGAUUCCUCCCUGGAGCAGAGGGACAAAUGAGGUCAAAACCUUGGACAGCUUGUGAGAAAUGCUCUUUUCACUGCUACUGUGAUGGCGAGUCCCAGGCUCAGAACAGCACCCAGAGGCUUUGAGGGGGAGGCCAUACUUGACAGAGACUGUUGUCAUAUCUUGACCAUCCUUGAUAUGGUAGUGACCAGGCAAAAAAGGAUCAUCUCCUGAGACUAGAGAUCUCUUCAAGAAAAUGAGAAAUACCAAGGGAACAUUUCACGCAAAGAUGGGCACAAUAAAGGACCAAAACGGUAUGGACCUAACAGAAGCAGAAGAUGUUAAGAAGAGGUGGCAAGAAUACGCAGAAGAACUGUACAAAAAAGGUGGAAGACUUGGGGCCGACCCUCCCGUGUCAGCUGUGGCAACAGGUACCUGCGACGUGCCAAGUGCAGAGGUUCCUGCCCUUGAGCGGACAGCCUCUCAGGAGGAAACAGCUCUCUGCCUGCCAACCUUGCUCCUGCCCGACACUGAACCUGCAGGUGGGGGCCUCACCUUCCGCCACGUGCCCAGCCCCAGGAUGCCCCUCCAGGACCACCUCGGCCGCCAGUCCCUGCUCCCCUGACCCCCCGGCCCCUCCCAGCUCCUCCACCGUUAAACUGAAGCCAGCAGUUCAGGGAGCGGCGAGGCUGAGGUCUCCGGGAUCCAGCCCCACAUGCAGAACCGACGGAUGCCAAGACCCGUGACAGCAGCGGGGAGGCCCAUUGUGGCGGUAGCCCCCAGAGGUGAGGCGAGGGUCUCAAGACUGGGGCACCCGCCCCCCCUGCCCUCACUUCCCAGCAGCAAGCCCCCCGGGGGCGCCCACCUUGCGU